rnacentral:rRNA from 1 species
AACGGCCAUACCAUGCUGAAUAUACCGGUUCUCGUUAGAUCACCGAAGUCAAGCAUCAUUGGGCGCGGUCAGUACUUGGGUGGGUGACCACCUGGGAACACCGCGCCGUUGGC